rnacentral:tRNA from 2 species
CUAGUAUUCUUAAUUAAACUACUC